rnacentral:lncRNA from 1 species
AUGUAUUUUUAUUUUUACAGAACUUACAGAUACCGUAUUUUCUUUUGUGACUUCAGGGGUUUUCUUCAUCUAGAGACAUUUCCAACUUUGAGAAAUCAUCCUCUUGCCCUAAGACAGUCUUGGAGUGAGUUCCCACAAACUACUCCUGCCUCAGAACCUUCCUCACCAAAGGCUUCUGGUUGAUCCAGCUCAGCAAUACUCCAGGAGAACUCCCAGUUGGCAUCCGGGGUGAUGAUGGAGGAUGGAGAGGACCGAUAAUCUGUGAGUGAUUUUUCCAGGACCCUCUUUUGAGCUGCUAAUAAAAAGCAAAUGGUGAGGCUCUAGACUGGGAA